rnacentral:rRNA from 1 species
AGAGUUUGAUCCUGGCUCAGGACGAACGCUGGCGGCGUGCUUAACACAUGCAAGUCGAACGAAGCUUGAUUACGGAUUCUUCGGAUGAAGUAUGAUAUGACUGAGUGGCGGACGGGUGAGUAACGCGUGAGUAACCUGCCCUUCAGAGGGGGAUAGCGUUUGGAAACGAACGGUAAUACCGCAUAAUGUAUUUUGACCGCAUGAUCGAAAUACCAAAGAUUUAUCGCUGAAGGAUGGACUCGCGUCUGAUUAGGUAGUUGGUGGGGUAACGGCCUACCAAGCCGACGAUCAGUAGCCGGACUGAGAGGUUGAUCGGCCACAUUGGGACUGAGACACGGCCCAGACUCCUACGGGAGGCAGCAGUGGGGAAUAUUGCACAAUGGGCGCAAGCCUGAUGCAGCAACGCCGCGUGAAGGAAGACGGUUUUCGGAUUGUAAACUUCUGUUCUUAGUGAAGAAUAAUGACGGUAGCUAAGGAGCAAGCCACGGCUAACUACGUGCCAGCAGCCGCGGUAAUACGUAGGUGGCAAGCGUUGUCCGGAAUUACUGGGUGUAAAGGGAGCGCAGGCGGUGAUCAAGUCAGCCGUGAAAACUACGGGCUUAACCCGUAGACUGCAGUUGAAACUGUUCAUCUUGAGUGAAGUAGAGGUUGGCGGAAUUCCGAGUGUAGCGGUGAAAUGCGUAGAUAUUCGGAGGAACACCGGUGGCGAAGGCGGCCAACUGGGCUUUAACUGACGCUGAGGCUCGAAAGUGUGGGGAGCAAACAGGAUUAGAUACCCUGGUAGUCCACACUGUAAACGAUGAUUGCUAGGUGUGGGGGGUCUGACCCCUUCCGUGCCGGAGCUAACGCAAUAAGCAAUCCACCUGGGGAGUACGACCGCAAGGUUGAAACUCAAAGGAAUUGACGGGGACCCGCACAAGCAGUGGAUUAUGUGGUUUAAUUCGAAGCAACGCGAAGAACCUUACCAGCACUUGACAUCCAACUAACGAAAUAGAGAUAUAUUAGGUGCCCUUCGGGGAAAGUUGAGACAGGUGGUGCAUGGUUGUCGUCAGCUCGUGUCGUGAGAUGUUGGGUUAAGUCCCGCAACGAGCGCAACCCUCGCCAUUAGUUGCUACGCAAGAGCACUCUAAUGGGACCGCUACCGACAAGGUGGAGGAAGGUGGGGACGACGUCAAAUCAUCAUGCCCCUUAUGUGCUGGGCUACACACGUAAUACAAUGGCCAUCAACAGAGAGAAGCAAUACCGCGAGGUGGAGCAAAACUUCAAAAAUGGUCUCAGUUCGGACUGCAGGCUGCAACCCGCCUGCACGAAGUUGGAAUUGCUAGUAAUCGUGGAUCAGCAUGCCACGGUGAAUACGUUCCCGGGUCUUGUACACACCGCCCGUCACACCAUGGGAGCCGGUAACACCCGAAGUCAGUAGUCUAACCGCAAGGAGGACGCUGCCGAAGGUGGGAUUGGCGACUGGGGUGAAGUCGUAACAAGGUA